rnacentral:rRNA from 1 species
CAUUAUCGUAUAAACUUGAACAGGCUGUUGCUGGCCCUCCGGGGUGUGUGCACGCUUGUCUCAUCUUUAUUUCUCCAACUGUGCACAUUUUGUAGGUCCUGGAUGCGUCUAUGAACUCGCGUUCGAGUCGGGACUGCUGUUGCUUUUCUUUGGAGAGGCCGGCUUUUCCUUUUGCUUUUCAGGUCUAUGUUGUUUAUAUCACAAACCGUGUUUAGAAUGUAAUGUUGGUAUAAAAAAAAAUGAAAUAUACAACUUUCAGCAACGGAUCUCUUGGCUCUCGCAUCGAUGAAGAACGCAGCGAAAUGCGAUAAGUAAUGUGAAUUGCAGAAUUCAGUGAAUCAUCAAAUCUUUGAACGCAUCUUGCGCUCCUUGGUAUUCCGAGGAGCAUGCCUGUUUGAGUGUCAUUUUAACUUAUCAACCACUUUCAUGUCUGAACAGUGGCUUGGAUGUGGAGGUCUUUGCAGGCUUUCUUUGUAAGGUCGGCUCCUCUGAAACAUAUUAGUGGCAUCUGAGCUGCUACUGUAGGUGUGAUAACUAUCUAUGCCUUCUGGUAUGCUGCAUUGAACAGAUUGCGCUGCUUAGAACCAAACCAAAA